GAUGAACGCUAGCUACAGGCUUAACACAUGCAAGUCGAGGGGCAUCGGGAAGAAAGCUUGCUUUCUUUGCCGGCGACCGGCGCACGGGUGAGUAACACGUAUCCAACCUGCCCUUUACUCGGGGAUAGCCUUUCGAAAGAUGAAUUAAUGCUCCAUAAAACAGGGGUCCCGCAUGGGAAUAUUUGUUAAAGAUUCAUCGCUGAUAGAUAGGCAUGCGUUCCAUUAGGCAGUUGGCGGGGUAACGGUCCACCAAACCGACGAUGGAUAGGGGUUCUGAGAGGAAGGUCCCCCACAUUGGUACUGAGACACGGACUAA
rnacentral:rRNA from 1 species